CCAUUGAUGUUGUUUUUAAGUUUUUGCGGACUUUUCUUAGUGGAUGUACAAUCGUUGCAAAUUGAAUUAUGGGGAGUUUCAGGCCCCGGAGUGAACAUAAUUGUACACUUGCAAAGCCAACUAACAACGAAGGUUCAGGGGCUUACGUUGCAAACUUCCCUUGUUUGGCUAAUCAUUUGGACCGCAUUGCAAGAUGGCGACGGGGCUUCCCCCAAGGGCAUAAGGUGAGGGAACCAUCUAAGGUUAGCUUGGGUUGAUGGAAGGAAGGAGGGCAGCACAAAGGGAAUGGUUCCUGAAACAUGUCAAUGACCUAAUGCAUAGCCUUACAGCUGUCCAUGGCCACCCACUCAGGUCUCACUAAGACUGGAUUCCCCAAGAGGUGUGCUACUCAGCUGCCCAUGGUUGCCUGACAUUAGUGUGCAAAACCUUGUCCUGAUUGGUGAGUCGUGAUGUUUCUCCCCUUUUUUCACUAAAACUCACACGUGUGCAGUUGCAGAGAAUGGGAAGAGAUUUGCCCCCAAAAAUUUUUUACCACAUUUGUAUUUUUUUAAUAUUCAUUUUGUUGGGGGGGUUACACGUACAUUCUCUAUUUAAAAUGAUAUGUUUAUAAAACCUGUUCCUGCGAGGAUCGUGAGGAUCGCUACUGGCAGUGAAGAUGAAUGGUCUCAUCAGGGAGAGAUCGCUCAUGCCUGAGCAUGACAUCCUGUUUCCACCCAGUUACCCCUACAUUGAGGACUACAGUAAACCAACCCAGUAAAUGAACAAUCGCUGCCCUUCCUGGUGCGACCGCUUCCUCAUGUCUCACACUGCCCAAGACAUCACCCACAGAGGAUGAGGGAGAGAGCAGUGUGGCGUACAACACACAGUUCCCAGUGACUACAUGAGAGACCACAAUGUAACAUUUGUUUAUAUAAUGUAAAAUGUCUUGUCUUGAAAAUGGCCCUCGAUCAUCAUGGUUGAUGCUUGCGUUUAAGCAACAACAACAAAAAAGUCGACUUCCUAAAUAUUCAGAAAGCUAGACGCAGUAAUUAUUUUCGAUCUCUUUAUGUAACAGAGGUACCCGUAACUGAGGUGUACCACCAGAUCGCCCUUUGCUCCAAUAAUUAUAGGUUUUGAAAAUGGGUCUUGGAAUAAAUAAAUGAGGCUUACCAAUUUGUCAUCAACAUUAGUCUACUUGCUCAAUGGCCAAGGUGCAUAAAGAUGUGGGUUGCAUGAUUAAACGUCACUCAGCUUUAUCGUGUCUGCAAUAACCAGUUUGUGAUUUUUAGCAUGUAAACCUUGGUGGGGCAAAAAAAAAAGUUUUUUUUGCGAAUGUGCCAGCAAAGCACAACACUAAACAAUAUAUUAAUUGCACAAUAGGUGACAAACAGUAACCACAACAUGUUAUUGCCUACUUAAAGUUGUUCUGUUAGCAGAGCUUUCCUUUCAGCACCAUGGAGUGAAUCCUUACCAACGCUACACCUGGCUAUCAGUCUUGUCUGACAGCGAAACAGUUCAUUCAACCUCAUUUCCUGCCUUUUUAAAAACCAUAGCUGAUAUGGCUGACUUAAACAAACGUGGUUACUACUGGCUCCUUGUGGAUUUGUGUAAGUCGAUAAGAACCGCAUUCUCCUUCAAUAAUAACGAACGCCAAAAUAAGUUCUGACUUUUGAACCAUACACAAACAUUAUUCGAUUUAUGAAUCACUAAAUUCAUAAUGUUUCAUCUUAAAUCAUUAACACUUAGCUCUAAGUAUAAGCAAGUGCAAACAAACGAGCUGCGACGAGGCAGGCCUAUUCGUUCAGCACUUUCAAAAUGGACUCAGACAGAAAUUCAGAUAGAUGUUAGUUCAGAUAAAUUCAGCAAGAUGUUGAGGCCUUAACCUUACUCUUCUUUAAGUCACCACAGAGAGAGAGCGAGAGAGAGACUCGGUUAGCCUACAAUUUUAAGUAUUUUGUUAGGCCUAUAUGGCCUAAAAAGGAAGGAAAAUACAAUCAUGAGUAUCCAAUUUUUUUAUACAUUAUACCGACGCACAGACAGCACAUUGCACAAACAAAACAACCCUUGCAAUAUCAACUGGAACUUUGAAUGGGAAGAGACUGGCAAACAUGGUUACAGACCCAACAACAUUAUAUAGUAUCUCAUCCUAGUGAAGAAAAGCACGAGCUAAUUGUAAUACACAAAGUAAGCAAAACUCACCCUGUUGUCCUGUGCUCACUUGAACAGGAAGGUGGCGCGGCGGACGUUCUUGUGGGCAACUUUUGUCAUCAAACUUUAUCAUCAGUCUGUCAUUCUCAGGAUUUAUGGGUCUUUCAAGACAACUGGGAACUCCGAAUAAAACAAGGUCGAAUCAUGAUAUCAGUGAUCUUCAGAUCAGAGCUCUAGAAAGAGGCCGGAGUUCCCGACUUUGAAUUCAGAGUCGGAUGACCGUUCAAAACGUAUUUUCUCAGUCUGAGCUAAUUUCUUUUCCAGAGUUCCCAGUUGUCUUGAACUCACUGAAGUCUGAGAUGUCCCAGUUCCCGAAUUUCCAGUUCUUUUGAACGAGGUAGAAGACAUGCUGGAUUAACAGCAUGGCCAAUUUAUUCAACCAUUUCUGGCCCUUGAUGUUGCGUGUGAAUGUUUAUCCUUUUAACCUUGGAAAAGAGAUCCUUUCAGACAGAUGUUUGAAAUCCUUAAACGCAGAUUUGGACCACACAUCCUCUACAUCGAAUAGGAGGUAUGGGAAGCAAAUUAGUAAUUGCCCUGCAACGCUUGUAAACUCAGCAAAAAAAGAAACAUCCUCUCACUGUCAACUGCGUUUAUUUUCAGCAAAUGAACGUGUAAAUAUUUUUAUGAACAUAACAAGAUUCAACAACUGAGACAAACUGAACAAGUUCCACAGACAUGUGACUAAUAGAAAUGGAAUCAUGUGUUGUUGUUGCCAAUAGACAUUGUAAUUUAUUGCCCUGGCCACAUCUGCAGUCCUCAUGCGCCCCUCAGGGGUGCGUGCUUAGUCCCCCCUGUAUUCCUUGUUCCC